rnacentral:rRNA from 1 species
CCCUUAGAUGUUCUGGGCCGCACGCGCGCUACACUGUUUGAUUCAGCGAGUCUUAACCUUGACCGAAAGGUUUGGGUAAUCUUCUAAAGUCAAACGUGAUGGGGAUCGAUCAUUGCAAUUAUUGAUCGUGAACGAGGAAUUCCUAGUAAAUGCAAGUCAUCAGCUUGCGUUGAUUACGUCCCUGCCCUUUGUACACACCGCCCGUCGCUACUACCGAUUGAAUGUUCCGGUGAGCUCUUCGGACUGCGCGGUCUGCAGUUUCUGCGUUCCGUGCGGAAAGUUGCGCAAACCUUAACAUUUAGAGGAAGGAGAAGUCGUAACA